rnacentral:rRNA from 1 species
ACUCCUACGGGAGGCAGCAGUGGGGAAUAUUGCACAAUGGGCGCAAGCCUGAUGCAGCCAUGCCGCGUGUAUGAAGAAGGCCUUCGGGUUGUAAAGUACUUUCAGUUGUGAGGAAAGGUUAGUCGCUAAUAUCGGCUAGCUGUGACGUUAGCAACAGAAGAAGCACCGGCUAACUCCGUGCCAGCAGCCGCGGUAAUACGGAGGGUGCGAGCGUUAAUCGGAAUUACUGGGCGUAAAGCGCGUGUAGGUGGCUUGUUAAGCCAGAUGUGAAAGCCCCGGGCUCAACCUGGGAACUGCAUUUGGAACUGGCAGGCUAGAGUUUUGUAGAGGGUGGUAGAAUUUCAGGUGUAGCGGUGAAAUGCGUAGAGAUCUGAAGGAAUACCGGUGGCGAAGGCGACCACCUGGCCAAUAACUGACACUGCUGCCUCCCGUAGGAGUACUGUC